rnacentral:rRNA from 1 species
AGAAUCAACGCUGGCGGCGUGCCUAACACAUGCAAGUCGAUCGAGAAAGUGGAGCAAUCCAUGAGUAAAGAGGCGCACGGGUGAGUAACACGUGACUAACCUACCUUCGAGUGGGGAAUAACCUGGGGAAACCCGGGCUAAUACCGCAUAAUACCUACGGGUCAAAGGAGCAAUUCGCUUGAAGAGGGGGUCGCGGCAGAUUAGUUAGUUGGCGGGGUAAUGGCCCACCAAGACGAUGAUCUGUAUCCGGCCUGAGAGGGCGCACGGACACACUGGAACUGAAACACGGUCCAGACUCCUACGGGAGGCAGCAGUGGGGAAUUUUGCGCAAUGGGGGAAACCCUGACGCAGCAACGCCGCGUGGAGGAUGAAGUCCCUUGGGACGUAAACUCCUUUCGACCGGGACGAUUAUGACGGUACCGGAUGAAGAAGCCCCGGCUAACUUCGUGCCAGCAGCCGC